CGGGUAGACAGACUAGCCCCGAUUGAAGUCUAGUCUAAAAAGAUACAAGGAUUAAAUUAUUAUG
rnacentral:sRNA from 1 species